AUUGAACGCUAGCGGGAUGCCUUACACAUGCAAGUCGAACGGCAGCACGGACUUCGGUCUGGUGGCGAGUGGCGAACGGGUGAGUAAUGUAUCGGAACGUGCCCAGUAGCGGGGGAUAACUACGCGAAAGCGUAGCUAAUACCGCAUACGCCCUACGGGGGAAAGCAGGGGAUCGCAAGACCUUGCACUAUUGGAGCGGCCGAUAUCGGAUUAGCUAGUUGGUGGGGUAACGGCUCACCAAGGCGACGAUCCGUAGCUGGUUUGAGAGGACGACCAGCCACACUGGGACUGAGACACGGCCCAGACUCCUACGGGAGGCAGCAGUGGGGAAUUUUGGACAAUGGGGGAAACCCUGAUCCAGCCAUCCCGCGUGUGCGAUGAAGGCCUUCGGGUUGUAAAGCACUUUUGGCAGGAAAGAAACGUCAUGGGUUAAUACCCCGUGAAACUGACGGUACCUGCAGAAUAAGCACCGGCUAACUACGUGCCAGCAGCCGCGGUAAUACGUAGGGUGCAAGCGUUAAUCGGAAUUACUGGGCGUAAAGCGUGCGCAGGCGGUUCGGAAAGAAAGAUGUGAAAUCCCAGAGCUUAACUUUGGAACUGCAUUUUUAACUACCGGGCUAGAG
rnacentral:rRNA from 1 species